rnacentral:rRNA from 1 species
UACAGAGGGUGCAAGCGUUAAUCGGAAUUACUGGGCGUAAAGCGUGCGUAGACGGUUAUGUAAGUCGGGUGUGAAAGCCCCGGGCUCAACCUGGGAAUGCCAUUCGAGACUGCAUAGCUAGGGUGCGGAAGAGGGAAGCGGAAUUUCAGGUGUAGCGGUGAAAUGCGUAGAUAUCUGAAGGAACACCAGUGGCGAAAGCGGCUUCCUGGUCCAGCACCGACGUUCAGGCACGAAAGCGUGGGGAGCAAAAAGG